AUUGAACGCUGGCGGCAGGCCUAACACAUGCAAGUCGAGCGAGCGGCGGACGGGUUAGUUAUGUAUGUGCAUAUUCCUGGUGGAGGGGGAUAACUAAUGGUCACGGUUGCUAAUACCGCAUACCAUCAGAUGCACCCAUAUGGGAUUAGCUUGUAGGUGAGGUAACGGCUCACCUAGGCGACGAUCCCUCGCUGGUCUGAGAGGAUGAUCAGCCACACUGGGACGGAGACACGGCCCAGACUCCUACGGGAGGCAGCAGUGGGGAAUAUUGCACAAUGGGCGCAAGCCUGAUGCAGCCAUGCCGCGUGUAUGAAGAAGGCCUUCGGGUUGUAAAGUACUUUCAGUCGGGAGGCGUUACCGACAGAAGAAGCACCGGCUAACUCCGUGCCAGCAGCCGCGGUAAUAC
rnacentral:rRNA from 1 species